CUGAACCAGCCAAGUAGCGUGAAGGAUGACUGCCCUGUGGGUUGUAAACUUCUUUGAUACGGGAAUAAAGUGAGGCACGUGUGGCUUUUUGUAUGUACCGUAUGAAUAAGGAGCGGCUAACUCCGUGCCAGCAGCCGCGGUAAUACGGAGGAUCCGAGCGUUAUCCGGAUUUAUUGGGUUUAAAGGGAGCGUAGGCGGACGCUUAAGUCAGUUGUGAAAGUUUGCGG
rnacentral:rRNA from 1 species